AAGUUUGGUGAGUGUGCUGUUGCUGUUGCUGUUGAGCGAGCUGAGGAUUUUCUGCAGGUGUUGCUUGUUACUAACAGGCUGAUCUUCCCCAAGAAUCCACAUCGACGGGAAGGUUUGGCACCUUGAUGUCGGCUCUUCGCCACCUGGAGCUGUAGGUGGUUCCAAGGGUUGGGCUGUUCGCCCAUUAAUGCGGUACGUGAGCUGGGUUCAGAACGUCGUGAGACAGUUCGGUCCAUAUCCGGUGUGGGCGUUAGAGCAUUGAGAGGAUCUUUCCCUAGUACGAGAGGAUCGGGAAGGACGCAGCUCUGGUGUACCAGUUAUCGUGCCUACGGUAAACGCUGGGUAGCCAAGUGCGGAGAGGAUAACUGCUGAAAGCAUAUAAGUAGUAAGCCCACCCCAAGAUGAGUGCUCUCUCCUCCGACUUCCCUAGAGCCUCCGGUAGCACAGCCGAGACAACGACGGGUGCUCCACCCAUACGGGGAUGGAGCGACAGAAGCAUGGAAAUAGGAUAAGGUAGCGGCGAGACGAGCCGUUUAAAUAGGUGUCAAGUGGAAGUGCAGUGAUGUAUGCAGCUGAGGCAUCCUAACGAACGAA
rnacentral:ncRNA from 1 species